rnacentral:lncRNA from 1 species
AGGGCAAGCACAGAGAGUAGGGUGAAGAUGUAAAAGGGAAGAUAGCAGGCACAGUAAAGGUAAAAUAGGAACUUUCACUUCUGGAGAGAGUGUUAAUAUCCUUUCUGAUCAGGACUAUGGCAUCAUAUAUCAAAUACCUGCACCCCCCAACCCCCCCCCCCAAAAAAAGUCUAUACUUCUUUGGUUUUUUUUUUGAGACAGUCUCACUCCAUCGCCCAAGCUGGAGUACCGUGGCGUGAUCUCGGCUCACCGCAACCUCUGCCUCCAGGGUUCAAGUAGAGAUGGGGGCCGGGCGCGGUGGCUCAUGCCUGUAAUCCCAGCACUUUGGGAGGCCGAGGCGGGCAGAUCACGAGGUCAUGAGAUCGAGACCAUCCUGGCUAACACUGUGAAACCCCGUCUCUACUAAAAAUACUACUAAAAAUACAAAAAAAUUAGCCAGGUGUGGUGGCGGGUGCCUGUAGUCCCAGCUACUCAAGAGGCUGAGGCAGGAGAAUGGCGUGAACCUGGGAGGCAGAGCUUGCAGUGAGCCGAGAUCGCGACACUGCACUCCAGCCUGGGCAACAGAGUGAGACUCCCUCUCAAUAAAUAAAUAAAUAAAUAAAUAAAUAAAUAAAUAAAAUAGAGAUGGGGUGUCACUACAUUGACCAGGCUGGCUUUGAACUUCUGGCCUCAAGCAAUCCUCCCACCUUGUCCUCCCAAAGUACUAGGAUUACAGGUAUGAGCCACCACACCAUGCUGACUUUACUUCUUGAUGGGAUAAAUAUCAACACAUAGUAACAACAGCCUGUGGGAUGGGAGAUACUGUUGGAGCCAUCUUCGGAAAAUGCAGUCUGCCAAAAUAUAUCUCCCAAAAAGAAACACUGCAACCUCUAUGAGAAACCUGUUGCUAAAAGUAAAGAGGUAUACCCCAGAUAGGCAUGAAGCCUAUUGCAAGUUUCGUUAUGUCACACACCGAAAGCUCUAGAAAAUAUGUACUUCGCACUUUGCAUAGCCCACUCUAAAGGAACGUAUCACAUUAUCUUAUAUUUAGUUGUCCAUGUGCCUGCCUCCCCACCAGAACACCUGUUUCUUUUU